GUUACCUCUGGCAAGUCUGGAGACUAGGAUCCUGUUGCAGAGUUUUCUGAUCUACUACUUAAUAGUCAUUCCCUUUCUUUGUUACAGGACUUUGGUUUUUGUUGGGGAUGGUGAUGCAAUCUUAUGAAAAGGAAAAAACGAUCAAUCAGAAAACAACGGUGUUUACCACAUAUUACUUUGAAAUAAAGGAUGGCAUUAUUUAGUUUUGGCCAGUGAAAUAUAAGUUGAAGUCAUAGAGAACUGGCUCACUUGACUGUGGAUGUGGACAAGUCUCAAGGUCUGCAGGGUGAGUCAGCAAGCUGGAGACUCAGGAGAGCUAAUGGUUUAGUUCGAAGAACUAAAGGCCUAAGAAUCAGGAGAGACAGUGGUGUAAUACUGUUCUGAAGACUGGCAGGCUUGAAACCCAGGAAGAGCUGACUUUUCAGUCAAGUCUGAAGGCCUUCGAGGACUGGCAGCUUCUACCUCCUGGCUUGCGGGGAGUCCUGAGCUGCCAUUUAUGAAGUCUGACUGUGCUGGAACUACCAAGCUAGAGAGGCCAUCUGUUGGUGUUUCAUUCAACUAUCCCAGCAGAGCUCAUUUUUCCAGCCAUCCCAACAUACCAGACAUGUGAAUGAAGCCAUCUUGGAUUCUCCAAAUUAGCCUGGCACCACCCCAAGUGACCUCAGUUGGUACAACAUGGAGCAGGAGAAUUGCCCUGCUGAUCUCUCUAAAUUCCUUGGCCACACAUUCAUAAGCCAUAAAGGAGCCAAGCAGAAGCUGGGGAAUGGAAGAGAAGGUAGAGAGAGGAAGAAGGAAGAGGUUGACCACACCUACAUUUUCCAUGGGUUUCCGUUUAGGGUAGUUGAGACCUAGAAAAAGGAAGAAGCUUUAAGUAGGACAAGAGUCUAGUGUUCUGAUAUUAUAUGGAUGCAAUCUGCUAAUUAUUGAAACAAAAUAAAUCUUAUGACUAAAAAAGACUUUUAAGAAGUUGCUUCUGGCCUGACAUUUAUCCAAGAGAUGGCAAAGAAUGAACUCCUAGAAUUGGAUUGAAAGGGAGAAAGAAAAGAAGAAAAGAAAAGAAAGAAAAGAAAAGAAAGAAAAGAAAAGAAAAGAAAAGAGAGAAAGAAAAGAAAGAGUACAAAUUUCCAGUUAUAAAAUAAAUAAGUGAUGUGUGUGUCAUGCACAACAUGGGGAAUAUAGUUAUUGAUACUGUAGUGCAUAUUUGAAAGCUGCUAGAGACUUAAAAAUCCUCAUAAUAAGAAAAAACACAUUUGUAACUAUGUAUAGUGAUGGAUGUCAGCUAGACUUAUUGUGGUGAGCAUUUUGUAAUAUAUACAAAUACCGAAUCAUUAUGUAGUACUCUUAAAACUAACAUAGUAUGUCAUUUAUACCUCAAAAAGAAGUAAUAAAGUUGGCUUUGACUUUCAUGCUAUCAAAUCCAACUCAUUAAAAAAUUUUUUGCAAAUAUUCACUAAAUACCUAUCGUAUACCAGGCACUGGGGUUUCAGAGAUGAACAAAACAGACAAGAUCACUGCACUCAUUUCAAUUAUAUUGUGGUAAGACACUUAGCUGGUAGAUAAAUAAACAAUUAGAUAUCAGCAUGAAUUUUAUGUAUAGAAUAAAGUUUCAGUGAUGUGAUACCAAAUUUAUUAGGGGAAUACUUAAGAUAGGGUGGUCAGUAGUGACUCCUCUGAGGAGCAAUUUAAGCUGAGGUCAGAAUGACCACAGGAAUCCAGCAUGCAAGCUAUGGGAAAAAUGCAUCACAAGCAGAGGAAUCACCUAUGAAAAGACAUGAGAUGGACAUAAGCUAGGUGCAAGCUAGAAAUACAAAGGGCAGGGUGGGUUUGAACACCAUGGACAAGGGACAUAAUAAGCUGGGACAAGACUGGAGAUAGUGGGAGGGGCAAAGAACCAGAGACCUCUGUAAGGUAGAGAUAUGGACUUAAUUUUAUCUUAAGUGAUAGAAAACAACAUAGGGUUAGGAACAGGAAAUGAUGUAUCUGGUUUACAUUUUGCAAAGAUCUCCCUGGGUGCUCUAGGGAAAAUGAACAGUGGGAUGCUAGAGCUGGCUUCAUGGCUUCAAGAGUCUAUUGCUGAAUUUCCAGAAAUUUUGCAAUCCCUUUGUUUAACACAGUCAUUCUUGAAAUUGGCCAUGGCAGAAGGAUUUAUACCAUGGAAAUUGGCAAAUGCUACAAGCAAGGUUUUCCCCUCCCUGUUAAACAUUUACCAGCACACUACUGAAAACAGAUAAUAGGCAUGCAAAAAACCUGGGAAACCAGUCAGGAAAGAUGUUCCAUAUUCAUGGAUUCAAAAAAUUACUAUUGUAAAGAUGGCCAUAAUACCCUAAGCUAGUUUUAGAUUUAGUGAAGUCCCUAUCAAAAUUCCAGUGGCAUUUUUCACAGAAAUUAAAAAAAAAAAAAAAUCCUAAAAUGUGUAUGGAACUACAAAAGACCCUGAAUAACUAAAGCAAUCUUGAAAGAGAAUAAUAAAAUUGGGGGCAUCACACUUCCUAAUUUAAAAUGAUAUUGCAAAGCUUGUUAAUUAUUUGUUAAUUCAGUAUGAUUCUGGCUUGGAAACAGACACAUAGACCAAUGGAGCAUACAUAAGAGCCCAGAAAGAAACUCUGACAUAUACUGUCAAUUAAUAUUUGACAAGAGAGCCAAAAAUACUCAAUAGGAAAGGAUAAGCAACCCUUCCAUAAAUCGUGCUUGAAAAACUAGAUAAUCACAUGCAGAAGAAUGAAAUUGAACACCUAUCUUACACCACGCAAAAAAAAAAUAACUAAAAUGGAUUAAAGAUUUAAACAUAAGACCUGAAACAUAGGGAGAAAUUUUCUUGACAUUGAUCUUGGCAACAGUUGUUUUUAUAGAUGUGACACCAAAAGUGCAAGCAAUAAAAGCAAAAAUAAAUAUGUGAUACUACAUCCAACUAAAGGCUUCUGCACAGGAAAAUAAAUAACAAAAUGA